AAUGUUAAUGAUAUCCGUUGCGAUUGAGUGGUUGCUUCUCCGGGGAGUCGGUGGGGCGUUUGCGCUUGAAGAAGCCACACUGAAAAAUCAAGUGGAAUAGAGGUUAGUAUCAAGUGUUAUGGUUGACUCUAAACACAGUUUGCCGUGAGGUCACUCACUCUCCAAAGACAGAAAAUGAUCAAAGCGAGGAGUAGGAGACCGCCCAAGGCGGCCAAUAACCACACCCACCACGGAAUGGAACCCUCUGCAAGCUCACUGGGGAACACCUCAGUCGUCACUUGAUGGGUCUGCAAGAUAAAAUCAAGGUUGAGUAUUCGUGGGCUACUCAAGUUCCGCGUAAAUGGUUUGGCGCGUACUUGGUAUUCAAUUCGAGACACAUCAGCCUGAUGAGGAAGACGGGUGAUCCUUGUGACUAGUUUGGACGAGAUUUGAACUUUGUCCGCAUAAUUCUGCAAAAGAAGGAAGGGGCGGGAAGGCAUGUCCCGUAGCUUCAAAUGCGCAAUUGAGGCCAAAGUGAGCUCACUUUAGAAUCGAGAUGAACCACUGGUGCUGAGCGAAGGUACACCGCGUUGCUGGAAUCGUACGCACCCACCAGGAGAUCCGGAUAUUUGUUCUUAUCCAGAUCCAUCCCAGCGGAAAUUGACCACCCAAAGGUUCUAAUUGUCGAGCUAAUGUCUGCUGCGCGGAUGACCUGCAAUGGAUGGUGCCUUACUUAGCAAGAUCCCUGGCAUUGAUCCAGCCUAUUGGAUUGUUGAUAUACCUGGGCAAAUUUCCCAAGGAUCCCAUCCUCGGAUCCCAUGAAAAUGUAAAUGGCUCCCCUGUGAUCGGCCCCGUCGUAGGGGGCACCCACGAUAAGAUCCUCAAUGCCUUUGGGAUGGGACCGAGUCAUCCCAUCCAGGUUAAGGUUACCGGCGCAAGCCACUGACAAUCCAAACCUGGCCUUAUGAUUCUCUCCAUCCAAAGUGUCGAAUUUUUUGAACUUGUGCUAAAGAAGAGACACAGA